GGGUUUCCCAUCUUCCUCUGCAGCAUAGAGCAUGAGUCACUUGCUGGUUUAAACAAGAGUAAAUGGUGGAUUCUUCAUAACUUGAAGUCUUUAAAUCAAGAUUGGCUGAGUUACUGAAGUCCUCAAGAGGUUAUGGGACUAUUAGAGGAGUGGGUGUUUGAGGUUCAGUGGCCUGCAAUGUGCAGAAGGUCACACUAGAAAGAUGAUCACUAUGAUACCUUCUGGCCUUAAAGUCUAUUUCUAGGCCAGUGAGCUACAGUGCAGUAAAAGUUAGUUAAAUAAUUUAUCAGAAAGGGUCAUCUGUCAGGAAGAUUUCCUGACAACAGAGUAGCACACCAUAAAACUCCCACCUUCUAAGUACAGUGUAUUCAGUCUAUAUAUAUAUACAGCUAGUGUGGGAUGCAAAAAGGUUGUGAAAUUACUCAGAUGUGUAGGAGUUUUAAAAUGUUAUAACCACAAUAAAUACUCUACCUUAAAGGCCAUGUGCCAAGUCAGGAGAUUUUGUGAACAAAAGGAUCCUGUACUUGAAUCAUUGAAUAAAACAUGAUUUUACUUUC